rnacentral:rRNA from 1 species
GAUGAACGCUGGCGGCGUGCCUAAUACAUGCAAGUCGAGCGAACAGACGAGGAGCUUGCUCCUUCGACGUUAGCGGCGGACGGGUGAGUAACACGUAGGUAACCUACCUAUAAGACUGGGAUAACUUCGGGAAACCGGAGCUAAUACCGGAUAAUAUUUCGAACCGCAUGGUUCGAUAGUGAAAGAUGGCUUUGCUAUCACUUAUAGAUGGACCUGCGCCGUAUUAGCUAGUUGGUAAGGUAACGGCUUACCAAGGCAACGAUACGUAGCCGACCUGAGAGGGUGAUCGGCCACACUGGAACUGAGACACGGUCCAGACUCCUACGGGAGGCAGCAGUAGGGAAUCUUCCGCAAUGGGCGAAAGCCUGACGGAGCAACGCCGCGUGAGUGAUGAAGGUCUUCGGAUCGUAAAACUCUGUUAUUAGGGAAGAACAAACGUGUAAGUAACUGUGCACGUCUUGACGGUACCUAAUCAGAAAGCCAUGGCUAACUACGUG